rnacentral:rRNA from 1 species
AAGGAUCAUUACCGAGUUGAUUCGGGCUCCGGCCCGAUCCUCCCACCCUUUGUGUACCUACCUCUGUUGCUUUGGCGGGCCGCGGUCCUCCGCGGCCGCCCCCCUCCCCGGGGGGGUGGCCAGCGCCCGCCAGAGGACCAUCAAACUCCAGUCAGUAAACGAUGCAGUCUGAAAAACAUUUAAUAAACUAAAACUUUCAACAACGGAUCUCUUGGUUCUGGCAUCGAUGAAGAACGCAGCGAAAUGCGAUAAGUAAUGUGAAUUGCAGAAUUCAGUGAAUCAUCGAAUCUUUGAACGCACAUUGCGCCCUUUGGUAUUCCGAAGGGCAUGCCUGUUCGAGCGUCAUUACAACCCUCAAGCUCUGCUUGGUAUUGGGCACCGUCCUUUGCGGGCGCGCCUCAAAGACCUCGGCGGUGGCGUCUUGCCUCAAGCGUAGUAGAACAUACAUCUCGCUUCGGAGCGCAGGGCGUCGCCCGCCGGACGAACCUUCUGAACUUUUCUCAAGGUUGACCUCGGAUCAGGUAGGGAUACCCGCUGAACUUAA